UACGUAGGGGGCAAGCGUUGUCCGGAUUUAUUGGGCGUAAAGAGCGUGUAGGCGGCCAGACAGGUCCGUUGUGAAAACUCGAGGCUCAACCUCGAGACGUCGACGGAAUCCGUCUGGCUAGAGUCCGGAAGAGGAGUGUGGAAUUCCUGGUGUAGCGGUGAAAUGCGCAGAUAUCAGGAAGAACACCUAUGGCGAAGGCAGCACUCUGGGACGGUACUGACGCUGAGACGCGAAAGCAUGGGGAGCGAACGGG
rnacentral:rRNA from 1 species